CCCUUAGAUGUCCUGGGCCGCACGCGCGUUACACUGAUGCAUUCAACGAGCUUAUAACCUUGGCCGAGAGGCCUGGGCAAUCUUGUUAACGUGCAUCGUGAUAGGGAUAGAUUAUUGAAAUUAUUAAUCUUGAACGAGGAAUACCUAGUAGGCGCAUGUCAUCAGCGUGCGCCGAUUACGUCCCUGCCCUUUGUACACACCGCCCGUCGCUCCUACCGAUUGAAUGAUCCGGUGAGUUUUUUGGACUGUGGCAACGGCUUAGGUUCGCCUAACUGAUGCCGUGGGAAAAUACGCAAACCUUAUCAUUUAGAGGAAGGAGAAGUCGUANCA
rnacentral:rRNA from 1 species